CUACGGGCGGCUGCAGUGAGGAAUAUUGCACAAUGGAGGAAACUCUGAUGCAGCAACGCCGCGUGGAGGAUGACACUUUUCGGAGCGUAAACUCCUUUUAUAUAGGAAGAAGAUGACGGUACUAUAUGAAUAAGCGCCGGCUAACUCCGUGCCAGCAGCCGCGGUAAUACGGAGGGCGCAAGCGUUACUCGGAAUCACUGGGCGUAAAGAGCGUGUAGGCGGAUUAAAAAGUCAGAAGUGAAAUCCUAUAGCUUAACUAUAGAACUGCUUCUGAAACUCUUAAUCUAGAAUAUGGGAGAGGUAGAUGGAAUUUCUGGUGUAGGGGUAAAAUCCGUAGAGAUCAGAAGGAAUACCGAUUGCGAAGGCGAUCUACUAGAACAUUAUUGACGCUGAGACGCGAAAGCGUGGGGAGCAAACGGGAUUAGAUACCCCGGUAGUC
rnacentral:rRNA from 1 species